AAGCAUAAACUUAUCUGGUUUUGAUUGUGAUAUUUUAUAAAUUUGAUAAAAAUAAUUUUCUUUUUGUUAUUAAUAGUAUUUAAUAAAGGAAUUUUUGAUUUGGUGAUAAAUAAAAAGUACUGUGAAGGAAAGUUGAAAUAUUUGAAAAAUUAAUUUUUAGAAAGUAUUUUUUAAAAUUAAUACCUUGUGUUUCAGGGAAUUUAAAUAUUAUUUUUGUUAUUUUCAAACAUUCCCGAAUUUUGGUGAGCUAGUCUACAAUAAUAGUUAAUGUGGUAUAAUUAUUAUUAAUUGUCUACUAGAAAUGAAAUUUUAUACGCACUAAUUAGUAUCUGGUUUCCCGAUAAAUGAAUUGAAUUCAGCUUUUAAUUAUAAUAUAAUUAAAAAGUAAAAAUAGGAGGGAAAAGCUUCUUAUUUAAUAAUAAACAAACUAUAGAUAAAAUAAUUCUUUUUAUUAAACUAGGCUUAAGAUCAGUCAUGUUGAAAAAUCGUUAUAGAUUAUGUUUGAUGUAUUAAUAUUUAAAAUUAUUUUAGUGGUUUUACCGGGAAUCAUAAUAUAAUUAUAUUAUUUUGGUUAUAAUUAAAUUAUUAGUAUAUAAAAAUGUUUUGAUAUUUAUUAAACAAGUUUGGUUUUAAUUAUUUAUCAAAUUUAAAUUUGUGUUAAGGAACUCGGCAAUUAUUCCUUCUGCCUGUUUAUCAAAAACAUGUCCAUAUGAUUAAGCGUUUUAUAUGGUCUGGCCUGCUCACUGAUAUUUAAAUUAAAGAGCCGCGGUAUUUUGACCGUGCGAAGGUAGCAUAAUAAUUAGUCUCCUAAUUAGAGGCUUGUAUGAAUGGUCGGACAAGAUGGAAACUGUCUCAACACAAUAAAUAAAAUUUAAUUUUUAAGUAAAAAAGCUUAAAUGUAAUGGAGGGACGAUAAGACCCUAUAAAGCUUUAUGGUAUUCUUCUUUUUUAUAAAUUGUUUUGUUAUUAACUUAUUUUAGAAUUUUUAUCAUUUUACUGGGGCGGUAAAAGUAUAAUAAAAGAUUAACUGCUUUUAUUUUGUGUAACAAUUUUAUUUGGAAAUAAAUUGAUCCAUUAUUAAUGAUUAUAAGAACAAGUUACUUUAGGGAUAACAGCGUUAUUUUUUUUGAGAGUUCUUAUCGAAAAAAAAGUUUGCGACCUCGAUGUUGAAUUAAGGUUACCUUAAGGUGCAGCAGUUUUAAAGGUAGAUCUGUUCGAUCUUUAAAUCCUUACAUGAUUUGAGUUCAGACCGGCGUGAGCCAGGUUGGUUUCUAUCUUCCAUAUAAAAAUAACUUGUUUUAGUACGAAAGGAUUUGAUAAGUCAAAUAUUUUGUUGUGUGUUGAUUAUUAUUAACU
rnacentral:rRNA from 1 species